rnacentral:rRNA from 1 species
GCACAAGCGGUGGAGCAUGUGGUUUAAUUCGACGCAACGCGAAGAACCUUACCUGGGCUUGACAUGUACCUGACCGCCCUGGAAACAGGGCUUCCCUUCGGGGCAGGUUCACAGGUGGUGCAUGGCUGUCGUCAGCUCGUGUCGUGAGAUGUUGGGUUAAGUCCCGCAACGAGCGCAACCCCCGUCGCAUGUUGCCAGCAUUUAGUUGGGGACUCAUGCGAGACUGCCGGUGACAAACCGGAGGAAGGUGGGGAUGACGUCAAGUCAUCAUGCCCCUUAUGUCCAGGGCUACACACGUGCUACAUUGGCGCGUACAGAGGGCUGCGAUACCGCGAGGUGGAGCGAAUCCCUCAAAGCGCGUCUCGGUUCGGAUUGCAGGCUGAAACCCGCCUGCAUGAAGGUGGAGUUGCUAGUAAUCGCGGAUCAGCAUCGCCGCGGUGAAUACGUUCCCGGGC